GAUGAACGCUGGCGGCGUGCCUAAUACAUGCAAGUCGAGCGAACGGACGAGAAGCUUGCUUUUCUGAUGUUAGCGGCGGACGGGUGAGUAACACGUGGAUAACCUACCUAUAAGACUGGGAUAACUUCGGGAAACCGGAGCUAAUACCGGAUAAUAUUUUGAACCGCAUGGUUCAAAAGUGAAAGACGGUCUUGCUGUCACUUAUAGAUGGAUCCGCGCUGCAUUAGCUAGUUGGUAAGGUAACGGCUUACCAAGGCAACGAUGCAUAGCCGACCUGAGAGGGUGAUCGGCCACACUGGAACUGAGACACGGUCCAGACUCCUACGGGAGGCAGCAGUAGGGAAUCUUCCGCAAAGGGCGAAAGCCUGACGGAGCAACGCCGCGUGAGUGAUGAAGGUCUUCUGAUCGUAAAACUCUGUUAUUAGGGAAGAACAUAUGUGUAAGUAACUGUGCACAUCUUGACGGUACCUAAUCAGAAAGCCACGGCUAACUACGUG
rnacentral:rRNA from 1 species